rfam:Mus musculus chromosome 12, GRC primary reference assembly.
AAAGAAAGAGGCAUUGCAGAGGUGACUGCUGUGUCACCUGUGUGUCAGUAGGAGGCAGAAAGGAGAGAGGCUGUGUCUAUGCUCUGUGUUCUGACCUGUGAACAUCUAAAUGCUUAGUAGCCUAACACU